rnacentral:rRNA from 1 species
AUGCACGCUGGCGGCGUGCCUCAUACCUGCAAGUCGCGCGAACGGACGAGAAGCUUGCUUCUCUGAUGUUAGCGGCGGACGGGUGAGUAACACGUGGAUAACCUACCUAUAAGACUGGGAUAACUUCGGGAAACCGGAGCUAAUACCGGAUAAUAUUUUGAACCGCAUGGUUCAAAAGUGAAAGACGGUCUUGCUGUCACUUAUAGAUGGAUCCGCGCUGCAUUAGCUAGUUGGUAAGGUAACGGCUUACCAAGGCAACGAUGCAUAGCCGACCUGAGAGGGUGAUCGGCCACACUGGAACUGAGACACGGUCCAGACUCCUACGGGAGGCAGCAGUAGGGAAUCUUCCGCAAUGGGCGAAAGCCUGACGGAGCAACGCCGCGUGAGUGAUGAAGGUCUUCGGAUCGUAAAACUCUGUUAUUAGGGAAGAACAUAUGUGUAAGUAACUGUGCACAUCUUGACGGUACCUAAUCAGAAAGCCACGGCUAACUACGUG